rnacentral:tRNA from 1 species
AUUUGGGUAGCUCUAAGAGCAUUAUUUUGAAGCGAUAAAGGUAGAUAUUCUCCCAAAUA